rfam:Eubacterium cellulosolvens 6 chromosome, whole genome shotgun sequence.
UGGGCUAUCGCCAAGCGGUAAGGCACAGCACUUUGACUGCUGCAUGCGCCGGUUCGAAUCCGGCUGGCCCAG